UACGUAGGGGGCUAGCGUUGUCCGGAAUCAUUGGGCGUAAAGCGCGCGUAGGCGGCCCGGUAAGUCCGCUGUGAAAGUCCAGGGCUCAACCCUGGAAAGCCGGUGGAUACUGCCGGGCUAGAGUCCGGAAGAGGCGAGUGGAAUUCCUGGUGUAGCGGUGGAAUGCGCAGAUAUCAGGAAGAACACCCGUGGCUAAGGCGGCUCUCUAGUACGUGACUGACGCUGAGACGCGAAAGCGUGGGGAGCGAACAGG
rnacentral:rRNA from 1 species